rnacentral:rRNA from 1 species
AAGGUGCUGCAUGGUUGUCGUCAGCUCGUGCCGUGAGGUGUCCCGGGUUAAGUCCCAUAACGAGCGCAACCCUUAUCGUUAGUUGCCAUCUGGUAAUGCAGGGGACUCUAGCGAGACUGCCGGUAAUAAACCGGAGGAAGGUGGGAUGACGUCAAAUCAUCAUGCCCCUUAUGACCUGGGCUACACACGUGCUACAAUGGUUGGUACAACGAGUUGCGAGUCGGUGACGGCGAGCUAAUCUCUUAAAGCCAAUCUCAGUUCGGAUUGUAGGCUGCAACUCGCCUACAUGAAGUCGGAAUCGCUAGUAAUCGCGGAUCAGCACGCCGCGGUGAAUACGUUCCCGGGCCUU